UGGGGAAUAUUGCACAAUGGAGGGAACUCUGAUGCAACGACGCCGCGUGAGUGAUGAAGGAAUUCGUUUCGUAAAACUCUGUUCUAUGGGAAGAAAAGGACUGUACCAUAGGAGAAAGCUCCGGCUAAAUACGUGCCAGCAGCCGCGGUAAUACGUAUGGAGCGAGCGUUGUCCGGAAUUAUUGGGCGUAAAGGGUGCGCAGGCGGCUUUACAAGUUGGAUGUGAAAUAUUGUGGCUCAACCACAAACGUGCAUCCAAAACUGCAAAGCUUGAGUUAAGGAGAGGUAAGUGGAAUUCCUGGUGUAGCGGUGGAAUGCGUAGAUAUCAGGAGGAAUACCGGUGGCGAAGGCGACUUACUGGACUUAAACUGACGCUCAGGCACGAAAGCGUGGGGAGCAAACAGG
rnacentral:rRNA from 1 species